CUGUGUGCAUGCCUCCCUAUGCUGGAGGAAGCCUGAUGAAUCAGCUAGGCACCCACCUGUUUAUACAGGGACCAAAAUUGAACUUCUCACGGCAUUAGCGGGGAUUUU
rnacentral:sRNA from 1 species